ACGCUGGCGGCGUGCUUAACACAUGCAAGUUGGACGAGAAAGGCUGAAUUCGUUUGGCCGAGUAAAGUAGCGCACGGGUGAGUAACGCGUAGGCAACCUACCCUUGUAUUGGGGAUAACCCCGCGAAAGCGGGGCUAAUACCGGAUACGAUCCCACGAUGGUGGUUGUGGGAUGAAAGUCAGCCACUCGGAGAAGCUGACGUACGAGGAUGGGCCUGCGUCCUAUCAGCUAGUUGGUGGGGUAGCGGCCUACCAAGGCGACGACGGGUAGCUGGUCUGAGAGGAUGAUCAGCCACACUGGCACUGGAACACGGGCCAGACUCCUACGGGAGGCAGCAGUGAGGAAUUUUGCGCAAUGGCCGCAAGGCUGACGCAGCAACGCCGCGUGGGUGAUGAAGGCCUUCGGGUCGUAAAGCCCUGUCAGGUGGGAAGAAAGGCUUGAUUGGGAAUACCGGUUGAGUUUGACGGUACCACCAGAGGAAGCACCGGCUAACUCCGUGCCA
rnacentral:rRNA from 1 species